rnacentral:rRNA from 1 species
CCUACGGGAGGCAGCAGUGAGGAAUAUUGGUCAAUGGGCGCGAGCCUGAACCAGCCAAGUAGCGUGAAGGAUGACUGCCCUACGGGUUGUAAACUUCUUUUAUAUGGGAAUAAAGUGCGGCACGUGUGCUGCUUUUUAUGUACUUUAUGAAUAAGGAUCGGCUAACUCCGUGCCAGCAGCCGCGGUAAUACGGAGGAUCCGAGCGUUAUCCGGAUUUAUUGGGUUUAAGGGGAGCGUAGACGGGUUGUUAAGUCAGUUGUGAAAGUUUGCGGCUCAACCGUAAAAUUGCAGUUGAUACUGGCAGCCUUGAGUACAGUAGAGGUAGGCGGAAUUCGUGGUGUAGCGGUGAAAUGCUUAGAUAUCACGAAGAACUCCGAUUGCGAAGGCAGCUUUCUGGACUGCAACUGACGCUGAUGCUCGAAAGUGUGGGUAUCAAACAGGAUUAGAUACCCGUGUAGUC